CCCUUAGAUGUUCUGGGCCGCACGCGUGCUACACUGAGUGGAUCAGCGGGUCAGGUUGCGCGAAAGCGUUUCCUAAUCUUUAAAUCCGCUCGUGAUGGGGAUUGACGGUUGCAAUUUUCUGUCAUGAACGAGGAAUACCUUGUAAGCGCGGGUCAUCAUCCCGCGCUGAAUACGUCCCUGCCCUUUGUACACACCGCCCGUCGCUCCUACCGAUUGAAUGGUCCGGUGAAAUCUUCGGACCGUGACUUUGAUUUGUUUACUCAAAACGCUGUUACGGGAAGUUGAUUAAACCUUACCAUUUAGAGGAAGGUGUAGUCGUAACA
rnacentral:rRNA from 1 species